CAGAGUUCCUGCCCUCACGGGUAGAAACCCCACCCUUGUAUAUACUAUUAUGUUGCUUUGACAGGUCGCCUCUAAGGCGUUGGCUCACGCUAACUGUACCUGUCAGAGGACCCUAAACUCUUGUUUACAGUGUCGUCUGAGUACUAUACAAUAGUUA
rnacentral:misc_RNA from 1 species